rnacentral:rRNA from 1 species
UGCGUAGGCGGUUUGGUAAGUCUUCUGUGAAAUCUAUGGGCUCAACUCAUAGACUGCAUGAGAAACUGCCGGGCUGGAGUGUGGGAGAGGUGAGUGGAAUUCCUGGUGUAGCGGUGAAAUGCGUAGAUAUCAGGAGGAACACCUGUGGCGAAAGCGGCUCACUGGACCAUAACUGACGCUGAUGCACGAAAGCUAGGGGAGCAAACAGGAUUAGAUACCCUGGUAGUCCUAGCCCUAAACCAUGAUUGCUUGGUGUGACGGGUACCCAAUCCCGCCGUGCCGUAGCUAACGCGUUAAGCAAUCCGCCUGGGGAGUACGGUCGCAAGGCUGAA